GUGGUGUUUUUUGUUGUUGUUUGCUUUGUUAUUUUUUUUAAUAGAACCUCAUCUAUAAUACUUCCUGCUUACACUUCCACUUUGUUCAUCUACGUCUUAUUUUCUCCACUAUCUGUUCCUACUAUGAUUCUUUGUACCAAGCUGAAAAGCAACCACUUCUGUUUUUUUAAUAAGAAAUUGUGUACAGUAAAUUUUAAACAAACUUCCAGGUAAAUGAAGUACUUCUUACCCCAUUGUAUUAAGUCUACAAUAGCUUAAAAAAGGUUUUCUCUGAAACAAGGUUUGUUGGAGCUGUGCCAGGGGGAACAAUGGCAAGGCCGGGGAAUAAGGCAAUGGCCCAGCUGAAGUGCAUCUACACCAAUGCACGCAGCAUGGGUAACAAACAGGAGGAGCUGGAAGCCAUCGUGCAGCAGGCAGGCUACGACUUGGUUGCCAUCACGGAGACGUGGUGGGACCACUCUCAUGACUGGAAUGCUGCCAUGCCUGGCUAUAGGCUCUUCAGAAGGGACAGGCAGCACAGAAGGGGUGGUGCUGUGGCUCUCUAUAUUAGAGAAUCUUUUGAUGUUGUGGAACUCGAGGCUGGGAAUGACAAGGUUGAGUCCCUUUGGGUUAGGAUCGGCGGGAAGGCCAACAAGGCUAGCGUCCUGGACAGGGCCUGUUAUAGACCACUGAACCAGGAUGAGAUGGAUGAGGAGUUCUACAGGCAGCUGACAGAAGUUGCAAAAUCAUCGGCGCUUGUUCUCGUGGGGGACUUCAACUUCCCUGACAUAUCCUGGAAGCACAACACAGCUCAGAGAAAGCAGUCUAGGAGGUUUCUGGAGAGCGUGGAAGAUAGCUUCCUGACGCAGCUGGUUAGUGAGCCUACCAGGGGUGGUGCCCCGCUAGACCUUCUCUUCACAAACAGAGAAGGACUGGUGGAGGAUGUGAUUGUCGGGAGCUGUCUUGGGCAGAGUGACCAUGAAAUGGUGGAGUUCUCUAUUCUUGGCGAGGCCAGGAAGGGGACCAGUAAAACCGCUGUAUUGGACUUCCGGAGGGCUGACUUUGAGCUGCUCAGGACACUGGUUGGUAAAGUCCCUUGGGAGGCAGUUCUGAAGGGCAGAGGAGUCCAGGAAGGCUGGGCGCUCUUCAAGAAGGAAAUCUUAAUGGCGCAGGAGCGGUCUGUCCCCACGUGCCCAAAGACGAGCCCGCGUGGAAGAAGACUGGCCUGGCUGAACAGAGAGUUGCAGCUUGAGCUUAGGAGAAAAAAGAGGGUUUAUAAUCUUUGGAAAAUUGGGCAGGCCACUAAGGAGGACUAUAAGGAUGUAGCGAGGCUGUGCAGGGACAAGAUUAGGAAGGCCAAAGCUCAUCUAGAGCUCAAUCUGGCUACUGCCAUUAAAGACAACAAAAAAUCUUUUUACAAAUACAUCAACGCAAAACGGAGGACUAAGGAGAAUCUCCAUCCUUUACUGGAUGUGGGGGGAAACCCUGUUACAAAAGAUGAGGAAAAGGCGGAGGUGCUUAAUGCCUUCUUUGCCUCAGUCUUUAGCGGCAAUACCAGUUGUUCUCUGGAUACCCAGUACCCUGAGCCGGUGGAAGGGGAUGGGGAGCAGAAUGUGACCCUCACUAUCCACGAAGAAAUGGUUGGUGGCCUUCUAUGGCACUUGGAUGUGCACAAGUUGAUGGGGCCGGAUGGGAUCCACCCGAGGGUACUGAGAGAACUGGCAGAGGAGCUGGCCAAGCCGCUUACCAUCAUCUAGAGCUUAGGGAUAUGGUUUAGUGGGGACUGUUUGUGUUAGGUCAGAGGUUGGACUCGAUGAUCUUGAGGUCUCUUCCAACCUAGAAAUUCUGUGAUUAAACAGCUACAGACUCACUUUUACACCUUAAAGAUAAUGCUGAAAAGCACUAAGAGUUCAUCUAA
rnacentral:lncRNA from 1 species